rnacentral:lncRNA from 1 species
UCAUAUCCAUCGUUAUUUGGGGGAGAAACAGUUUCUUGUUUCACAGCAGCUCUCUCUUCUUUGAGCGGAUCUCCUCCCGUCGAUCCCUUCCAUUCAUCAUGGUAUCGGAGCUGAGUUCCUCGUCGGUGGCGGCGUCUAGCAAUGACGGAUCCAGUGGAGAUGAUCGGGUAGACCGAAGGAGCCAUGAUCGGCGGCAGGGUCGGGAACACAACCGGCGGAAAAUCGACGAUGAGUACCCCUACCCGGCGACAUUAAACAUUGGUAAGUUCGUUUCAAUAAAUCUUUCUGCCGAUAAUUUCUUGCAAUGGCUGACACAGAUGGUGAAUCUGUUAGAGGGACAAGACCUCAUUGAGUUUGUCGAUGGCUCAAUGACGGCACCCCUGAAGUUUAUUGAUGCGUCGGGGAGGGAAGUAGGGGUAUUAAGUGAAAAUUUAAAUCAAACAGCAGGGUUAUUAAUUGAAAAUUCAGAAAAAUUAAACCCUAGGUUUAAAUUAUGGAGAAGGACUGAUCGACUAGUUAAAGGUUGGAUUACUAGUCGGUUGUCUUCGACAACCUUGAGCCUAAUUACCGGAAUAGAAACAUUAAAAGGGGUAUGAGAUACUUUAAAAAAUGCUUGUGCCCAAGAUUCAGUUGAAAGAGAAUUUUUACUAAGGUAGAAGAUACAACAACUUAAAAAAGAACCUUUAAUGUCAAUUCAAGACUAUAUUAAUAGUCUGGAAAUUAUAUUUGAUGAAUUGAAUUUGAUAAAAAGAAUACUUGGAGAUGUAGAGAAAAUAUACUUCUUAUUGAAUGGAUUAGGAGAGAAGUAUGAGUCUUUUAAGUCCCACCUUAUAAUUCUGUGGUUCCGCAACUCAUCAGUUAUGAUUUAAGGAAUGGGUUAACGACUGAGAAAAGUACUGAUUGUUCUAUAUGGAUAGGAAAAAUAGAGGAAAAUUUUAUAAAAAUAAAGGAAAAGGAAAAAAAACACUGAAUUUAAUUCUAAAGGUAGAGGUUUUAAGCCACAUGGUUCUAAUGAUGGCUGGAAACAAUACAAAGGAAGGUCAGAAGGUAGAAAUUUAUGUCAAAUCUGUAAAGGAUCAGGUCAUCAAGCAAUGGUAUGUCCUAGUAGAUUUGAUCACUUAGUUCAAGCUAACGAUCUACAUCAUGAGAUGAAUGCUCUACAUAUGACAAAAGAAUUUUCAGCUCAAGAAUAGCUAGAAGACCCUAGAGCUGUAGCACAUAUGACAUAAUGAAGGUAAUCUUGAUUCUUUCAGACCCUAUACUGGUAAAAAAUGUGUAAAGGUAGGAAAUGGAAAGAAUUAGAUAUUUCAUUUAAAGGAGAUAAAACUAUAAUGUUAGUGAAUUUGAUUCUACUCAUUUUAUGAUUAAGGAACCUCUGUGGAGAACUAUAUAUAGUAGCCAGGGGGAGCAGAACUAAAGAUGAUCUCUAUACUUUGAGAUCUAGAAGCACUGAGCUAUAUGCAAUAGAGGUUGCAAAAGGUGAAAGUGAAAACAUUUGGCAUCAUAGAUUAGGACAUUUGAAUAAAGAAAUUCUGAAAUUUUUAAAUAAAAAAAAACACAAUAAAG